rnacentral:lncRNA from 1 species
CAAGCUCAAAUCCAUAAAUCUUGACCAACAAUUAAUCCAUGCUUCAAACUUAAAUAAUUUCCAAAAUCAUCUCAUAAGCCAAAAUUCUAAUAGAAGCUCGGAAAAUAAAAUAAUAACUUAUAGAAUCUUGCAUGCAUAUUUAUUUAAAACCAAAAUGUCCACUCACUAAUUUAGGCAUAAGCCCAACGAUAUCCGCAUCACCACUCAAGCAAGGUUCCCUUCACAUCCUAGCACAACAACCAUGCUUAGAACCAAACUUCAAUUCCAGAAAAUAAAUACGUAAAUAAAAACAUCUAACUCUCUUUCGUUUAACCCACUACUCCUAUUAGGGUUAAACUCACUGGAUUCACAUCAAACUCCACCACAACCUUAAUUCAUCAAUUCUAACAUUCUAGACUAAAUACCAAGGAAAUUCAACGGCCGGAUUUUUCAUUCUAACAACCGGCAAAAUCCUUAAUCUUUGAAAAAUCUCAAACCUUAUCAAAACUCCUCCAAAAAUUCCAAACUAUACUUCAAUAAACUCCUCUUAUUAAAACCAUCACAAAAACAGGAAAAACUGCCCUUAAGGGGCGGCGCCGCCGCCUGUUCCGCAGGCAGCCGCGGCCGGCAACCAAACUCCGGCGACGUCCAAUGCCUCCUAAAUUUUAACAGAAUAAUCCGCUCAUCAUGCACAACUACUUUCAUAACUAGCACUUAGUCUAAUUCUAAGGCGAACUAGGGUAAUCGAACCAAAACAUCCAUGAAUCCCUAGAACUUCAAUUAUACAUUACUCAUUAACAAGAUCGAAUUAGACCAAUUCCUUUUGAGCGAUUACUCACCUUGAUGAGGGCUACAAGAUGAGCCAAAAAUCCCGACCUAUGGUGGCCGGAGGAGGGAACUCCGGUGAAGGGGCAGCUGGCAUUUCCGGCGGGUUUUCUCCUCUCUGGCGGUGCUACCGGCUCGGACACUAGGUCGGGAAGAGAGAGGAGACGGCGGGGGUCUGAACUGGGCUGGAGUGGCGGCCGGUUGCCGGCCGGACGGUGGUAGGUGGAGCUGGGAACUUCCAGCGGGUGAGAGGCUCGGGAGAGAAGGGAGGAAGAGAGAGAGAGAGAGAGUGAGGGGGGAUGUCAGGACCUACCCCAGAUUUCCCCUAAAAAUCCGGGAUAAACCCUACGGGACCCACCUCAAGGGAAAUUCUACCAAAAUUUUGGCAUAACCUCCCUUGAAAAUGAGUAACCCUACCUGAAAGAAUAACACCAAAACCCAAAUACUUCUAAAACAAUUUAAUCCACAUCUUCUAGAGCCAUCUGCUCCCCUAAAUAAUCAUCCACCACCUCAACUGAAAUAAUAAUUCAAAAUAUUUUCAUGAAUUUAAUCUCUCAUACAACAUACCAAAUAAACCUUUUUACAACACUCCUAGGUGGAGUCACAAGCUCUUAACACACACAACAACAACAAUAACAACAAUAUCAUUUUAAACAUCCCAUGGUUAUCAGAGCAACUACUAGGAAAGAAGAAAAUACAAAUGUAGGUUAAACUAGUAACCUAUGAGAGAAAACUGGAUGAGGUGGGAAAUAUGACUCGCCUCCUACCCUCGUCGAACAGAAUUCUACAGAUUGGGCAUUUAAAACGAAAGGUCCAAGGGAGAAGCAUUUAAAACGUUAGAGUGAGUGGACAAAAAUAAACAAUAAAAUACGAACUCAAUGAUAGAGCAUUUAAAUCAAUUUAAUGCUUUUCCCAUAUUUUCCAUUGAGAAAAUAUUUAUGCAUGCCAUUCUUGGAAAUCUUUCCGAAAUAAUUAGAGGCAACAAGAAUGAACCAAUCCCAUUGGUUCCCAAUAAAUCAAUAAAAAUGGGGAAGAGGUUUCACCAUAACGAUGAGCCUCCCAAGCUAGGGUCAGAGCCUCCCAGGCUAUAAUAGCGUCCCACGCGAAGCGCCCUACUCACCUAUGGUGAGUAGUCGCUAAUAAUGGCUAGCUAACAUAUAAAUAUAAAUACCGAUCGGUUGCCUCCCAAGCUAUAAUGGUGUCCCACACUAAGCGCCCUACUCACCUAUGGUGAGUAGCCGCUAAUAAUGAUUAGCUAGCAAUAAAGAAUAUAUAUCAACCCUUUAUGGUGAAGUAAAAAUAACUAAUAUUAAGAAUGUCACUUCCCCAAAUAUAAUAUAAAUCACUUGACAUGUCCCACAUGUCAAAUAAAAUGAGCAAGAGAGUUCCCGAAAAAUAAAUGGAACUCAUUAAAUCCAAUAAAAAAUAUUAAAACUCCAAUAUGCUCACAACACAUUAAAUCUCCAAUAUGCAUUUGAAAUUAAUUAAACUUUAGAGCAUGCAUAACAUUCAAAUCAAGGGUCCACUCAUAGUGCUCGGCUAUGCCUGCCGACGACCCGAGGCUUCCUCCAAAUGAUCCUCCUCACGUCCUGAACAAUAAAUAAUUAUUAAGCCUUCAGACCAGGAUAAAAGUUUAAUAAAAUUUCCAAAAUAAAAAGGAAGCCUAUAAUUUCAUUUCUCUUGCCCAACUUCUCCACUUUUUACCUAAUAAGGCUCACAUUACUCCGCACUUACCGAAAGUCAUAAUUUAACCUUUUUAGACUUUAAAACUUGCUAAACCAACAGUCGGAUUUCCAUUCGAAUAACCGCCUAAAUCCUUAAUCAUUGAUAAAUGCCAAACCUUAUCAAAUCUCCUCCAAAAUUUCCAAACUAUACUUCAUUAAACUCCUCUCAUGAAAACAAACCCAAAAUCAUGAAAAACUGACCCUAAAGGGGGGCGGCGCCGGCCGGCAGCCUUAUUCCGGCGACCUCCAAUGCUUCUCAAAUUUUAACAGAAUAAUCCUCUCUUCAUGCAUAACAACUUUCAUAACUAGCACUUAGUCCAAUUCUAAGGCUAACUAGGGUAAUCGAACCAAAACAUCCAUAAAUCUCUAGAACUUCAAUUAUACAUUUCACCCUAACAAGAUCGAAUUAGACCGAUUCCUUUUGAGGGAUUACUCACUUUGAUGAGGGCUACAUGAUGAGCCAAAAAUCCCGACAUAUGGUGGCCGAAGGUGGGAACUCCGGCGAAGAGCUAUCCGGCGUCUCCGGCGGGUUUUCUCCUCUCCGGCGGCGUUACCAGCUCGGACACUAGGCCGGGGAGAGAGAGGAGGUGGCGGGGGUCUGAACUGGGGUGGAGCGGCAGGCCAUGCUGGGGAAGUUCCGGCAGCAAAGGGGGCUCGAGGGAGAGAAGAGGGAAGGGAGAGAGAGAGAGAGAGAGAGAAAUGAGGUGGGCUUUUCCCCUCUUAUUUGGCCCGGUCCACAGCUUAAUACCCCAAAAAUAAAGCCUACUAAAAAUUACCCCAUUUUUACCAAAUUAACUUUACCCUUUUAAUUGAUAACUUUUUCACGCUAACUCCGAUUUUAACGCAUAGCAUGUCAACGAACUCGUAUUAACGUCCUCUACGACUUUCAUGAACAAAGUUUUCCCAAAUUCCAAACGGAAGAAAAAGUCAACUCUAAGGUCCUUAAGUAAUAAACGGUUACUCAACACGGUAAAAGACCAAAAUAAUACCAAAGUAAAUAACCGUAAAAUUACUUAAGAACUGGGGUAUGACAGGGGGGGUGGUGUUGGGCUGCCCACACCCGGUCCAACAAUAUAACCCAACAAAAUAUACCCAUUAAAAUUUUACCCCCUUUUUACCAACUCAAAAACUUUACCAUUUAUCUGAUAACUUUUUUAUACUAACCCCGAUUUUAAUGUAUAACAUGUCUACGAACUCGUAAUAACGUCCUCUACGACUUUCAUGAAGAAAGUUUUCCCAAAUUCUAAACGGAAGAAAAAGUCAACUUUAGGGGUUACUGCCUUUCACCUCAGACUCCAAUAAGCGCUAAGCCAAUCAUAUUAUUAUUUCCAACAAUUCGCCCAGCGAAUUAAUUAUUACUAACCAAUAAAAACCGUCGGAAUCUCAUCCCUAAAUAAUAAAUUCAACAGCCGUCAUUCACAAACGACCUAAAAGCACAAGGAGAAAAUCGCUCUCAUAAACGAUCAACAUUCCUGAGACUGGUUCCCUCAAAUAUGAGAAAAUACGAUGACUUGGCG